rnacentral:rRNA from 1 species
UGGCUCAGGAUGAACGCUAGCUACAGGCUUAACACAUGCAAGUCGAGGGGCAGCAUUUUAGUUUGCUUGCAACUGAAGAUGGCGACCGGCGCACGGGUGAGUAACACGUAUCCAACCUGCCGAUAACUCCGGAAUAGCCUUUCGAAAGAAAGAUUAAUACCGGAUAGCAUACGAAUAUCGCAUGAUAUUUUUAUUAAAGAAUUUCGGUUAUCGAUGGGGAUGCGUUCCAUUAGUUUGUUGGCGGGGUAACGGCCCACCAAGACUACGAUGGAUAGGGGUUCUGAGAGGAAGGUCCCCCACAUUGGAACUGAGACACGGUCCAAACUCCUACGGGAGGCAGCAGUGAGGAAUAUUGGUCAAUGGGCGAGAGCCUGAACCAGCCAAGUAGCGUGAAGGAUGAAGGCUCUAUGGGUCGUAAACUUCUUUUAUAUGGGAAUAAAGUUUUCCACGUGUGGAAUUUUGUAUGUACCAUAUGAAUAAGGAUCGGCUAACUCCGUGCCAGCAGCCGCGGUAAUACGGAGGAUCCGAGCGUUAUCCGGAUUUAUUGGGUUUAAAGGGAGCGUAGGUGGAUUGUUAAGUCAGUUGUGAAAGUUUGCGGCUCAACCGUAAAAUUGCAGUUGAAACUGGCAGUCUUGAGUACAGUAGAGGUGGGCGGAAUUCGUGGUGUAGCGGUGAAAUGCUUAGAUAUCACGAAGAACUCCGAUUGCGAAGGCAGCUCACUAGACUGUCACUGACACUGAUGCUCGAAAGUGUGGGUAUCAAACAGGAUUAGAUACCCUGGUAGUCCACACAGUAAACGAUAAAUGCUCGCUGUUUGCGAUAUACAGUAAGCGGCCAAGCGAAAGCAUUAAGUAUUCCUCCUGGGGAGUACGCCGGCACCGGUGAAACUCAAAGGAAUUGACGGGGGCCCGCACAAGCGGAGGAACAUGUGGUUUAAUUCGAUGAUACGCGAGGAACCUUACCCGGGCUUAAAUUGCAACAGAAUAUAUUGGAAACAGUAUAGCCGUAAGGCUGUUGUGAAGGUGCUGCAUGGUUGUCGUCAGCUCGUGCCGUGAGGUGUCGGCUUAAGUGCCAUAACGAGCGCAACCCUUAUCUUUAGUUACUAACAGGUCAUGCUGAGGACUCUAGAGAGACUGCCGUCGUAAGAUGUGAGGAAGGUGGGGAUGACGUCAAAUCAGCACGGCCCUUACGUCCGGGGCUACACACGUGUUACAAUGGGGGGUACAGAAGGCGGCUACCUGGUGACAGGAUGCUAAUCCCAAAAACCUCUCUCAGUUCGGAUCGAAGUCUGCAACCCGACUUCGUGAAGCUGGAUUCGCUAGUAAUCGCGCAUCAGCCAUGGCGCGGUGAAUAAAAUCCCGGGCCUUGCACA